CCUACGUGAGGCAGCAGUGGGGAAUAUUGGACAAUGGGGGGAACCCUGAUCCAGCGACGCCGCGUGAGUGAAGAAGUAUUUCGGUAUGUAAAGCUCUAUCAGCAGGGAAGAAAGAAAUGACGGUACCUGACUAAGAAGCCCCGGCUAACUACGUGCCAGCAGCCGCGGUAAUACGUAGGGGGCAAGCGUUAUCCGGAUUUACUGGGUGUACAGGGAGCGUAGGAGGCGAGGCAAGUCUGAAGUGAAAGGCGGGGGCCCAACCCCCGGACUGCUUUGGGAACUGUAUGGCUGGAGUGCAGGAGAGGGAAGUGGAAUUCCUAGUGUAGCGGUGAAAUGCGUAGAUAUUAGGAGGAACACCAGUGGCGAAGGCGGCUUACUGGACUGUAACUGACGUUGAGGCUCGAAAGCGUGGGGAGCAAACAGGAUUAGAUACCCUUGUAGUC
rnacentral:rRNA from 1 species